rnacentral:rRNA from 2 species
GCGACGCCGCGUGAGGGAUGAAUGCCUUCGGGUUGUAAACCUCUUUCAGCAGGGAAGAAGCGCAAGUGACGGUACCUGCAGAAGAAGCACCGGCUAACUACGUGCCAGCAGCCGCGGUAAUACGUAGGGUGCGAGCGUUGUCCGGAAUUAUUGGGCGUAAAGAGCUCGUAGGCGGCUUGUCGCGUCGGAUGUGAAAGCCCGGGGCUUAACCCCGGGUCUGCAUUCGAUACGGGCAGGCUAGAGUGUGGUAGGGGAGAUCGGAAUUCCUGGUGUAGCGGUGAAAUGCGCAGAUAUCAGGAGGAACACCGGUGGCGAAGGCGGAUCUCUGGGCCAUUACUGACGCUGAGGAGCGAAAGCGUGGGGAGCGAACAGGAUUAGAUACCCUGGUAGUCCACGCCGUAAACGUUGGGAACUAGGUGUUGGCGACAUUCCACGUCGUCGGUGCCGCAGCUAACGCAUUAAGUUCCCCGCCUGGGGAGUACGGCCGCAAGGCUAAAACUCAAAGGAAUUGACGGGGGCCCGCACAAGCAGCGGAGCAUGUGGCUUAAUUCGACGCAACGCGAAGAACCUUACCAAGGCUUGACAUAUACCGGAAACGGCCAGAGAUGGUCGCCCCCUUGUGGUCGGUAUACAGGUGGUGCAUGGCUGUCGUCA